rnacentral:rRNA from 1 species
UACGUAGGGUGCAAGCGUUGUCCGGAAUUAUUGGGCGUAAAGAGCUCGUAGGCGGUCUGUCGCGUCUGCUGUGAAAACUCAGGGCUUAACCCUGAGCUUGCAGUGGGUACGGGCAGACUAGAGUGCGGUAGGGGAGACUGGAAUUCCUGGUGUAGCGGUGAAAUGCGCAGAUAUCAGGAGGAACACCGGUGGCGAAGGCGGGUCUCUGGGCCGUAACUGACGCUGGAGGAGCGAAAGCGUGGGGAGCGAACAGG